rnacentral:rRNA from 1 species
AGCAUAUCAAUAAGCGGAGGAAAAGAAACUAACAAGGAUUCCCCUAGUAACUGCGAGUGAAGCGGGAAAAGCUCAAAUUUAAAAUCUGGUAGUCUUNGGCUGCCCGAGUUGUAAUCUAGAGAAGUGUUACCCGCGUUGGACCGUGUACAAGUCUCCUGGAANGGAGCGUCAUAGAGGGUGAGAAUCCCGUCUUUGACACGGACUACCAAGGCUUUUGUGGUGCGCUCUCAAAGAGUCGAGUUGUUUGGGAAUGCAGCUCAAAAUGGGUGGUAAAUUCCAUCUAAAGCUAAAUAUUGGCGAGAGACCGAUAGCGAACAAGUACCGUGAGGGAAAGAUGAAAAGAACUUUGGAAAGAGAGUUAAACAGUACGUGAAAUUGCUGAAAGGGAAACGCUUGAAGUCAGUCGCGUUGGCCGGAAAUCAGCCUUGGUUUUCCUUGGUGUACUUUCUGGUUAACGGGUCAGCAUCAGUUUUGACCGGUGGAGAAAUUCUAGAGGAAUGUGGCUUCUCCGGAAGUGUUAUAGCCUCUAGUUGUAUGCAUCGGUUGGGACUGAGGAAUUCAGCACGCCGCAAGGCCGGGUUUCGACCACGUUCGUGCUUAGGAUGCUGGCAUAA